UUCCAACACUUUUUGAAUGUA
rnacentral:piRNA from 1 species